rnacentral:RNase_P_RNA from 3 species
AAAGCAUAGCAAAUGCUCGCUUCAUUAUUAUUUUAAUGAAGAGGAAAGUCCGAGCUGCAAAAGACAAGAAUUCCAUCUAACAGAUGGCUAGGGCAACCUAAGGGAAAGUGCAACAGAAAACAAACUACCACUAAGUGGAAAAGGUGAAAAGGUGAGGUAAGAGCUUACCAGCGAUUUUAGUAAUAAUUUCGGCUUUGUAAACCCAAUUCGCAGCAAGAAGGGAUGGUUUAAGUCUUUAGUUGGACCCUUCGCUUGAUUUUGUUUGUAAAAACAAAACUAGAUAAAUGAGCAUUCAAGACAGAACUCGGCUUAUAGCUAUGCUUUAGUA